rnacentral:tRNA from 1 species
GCGCCUGCUGGUGGCCGGCCCCGACACCCGGGCGUACGUCACCGGCGGGUCGUCCGGCGGCUGGGCGGGGCUCCGGUUCUUCCCCGGUCAGGCGCCC